rnacentral:rRNA from 1 species
AAGCUCGUAGUUGAAUUUCGAGAUCAGUACGCUGGUCGUGCCUUCGGUAUGCACUGGUGUCACUGGUUUCUCCCUUCUGAAGAACCGUUAUGUCAUUAAGUUGGUGUGGCGGGGAAUCAGGACUGUUACUUUGAUAAAAUUAGAGUGUUUAAAGCAGGCUCGCGCUUGAAUACAUUAGCAUGGAAUAAUGAAAUAGGACGUUUGACCCUAUUUUGUUGGUUUCUAGGAUCGACGUAAUGAUUAAUAGGGAUAGUUGGGGGCAUUAGUAUUCAAUUGUCAGAGGUGAAAUUCUUGGAUUUAUUGAAGACUAACUACUGCGAAAGCAUUUGCCAAGGAUGUUUUCAUUAAUCAAGAACGAAAGUUAGGGGAUCGAAGACGAUCAGAUACCGUCGUAGUCUUAACCAUAAACUAUGCCGACUAGGGAUCGGAUGAUGUUAAUUUUUUAAUGACUCAUUCGGCGCCUUACGGGAAACCAAAGUGUUUGGGUUCCGGGGGGAGUAUGGUCGCAAGGCUGAAACUUAAAGGAAUUGACGGAAGGGCACCACCAGGGGUGGGGCCUGCGGCUUAAUUUGACUCAACACGGGAAAA